AGGCGUAUUAAUACCCGUGCAAACUGCGAAUGGCUCAUUAAAUCAGUUAUCGUUUAUUUGAUAGUACCUUACUACAUGGAUAUCUGUGGUAAUUCUAGAGCUAAUACAUGCUAAAAACCCCAACUUCGGGAGGGGUGUAUUUAUUAGAUAAAAAACCAAUGCCCUUCGGGGCUCCUUGGUGAUUCAUAAUAACUUCUCAGAUCGCAUGGCUUUACGCCGGCGACGGUUCAUUCAAAUUUCUGCCCUAUCAACUUUCGAUGGUAAGGUAGUGGCUUACCAUGGUUUCAACGGGUAACGGGGAAUUAGGGUUCGAUUCCGGAGAGGGGGCCAGAGUAAUAGCCACCACAUCCAAGGAAGGCAGCAGGCGCGCAAAUUACCCAAUUCCGAUACGGAGAGGUAGUGACAAUAAAUACUGAUACAGGGCUCUUUUGGGUCUUGUAAUUGGAAUGAGUACAAUUUAAACCUCUUAACGAGGAACAAUUGGAGGGCAAGUCUGGUGCCAGCAGCCGCGGUAAUUCCAGCUCCAAUAGCGUAUAUUAAAGUUGUUGCAGUUAAAAAGCUCGUAGUUGAACCUUUGGCCUGGCUGGCAGGUCCGCCUCACCGCGUGCACUUGUCCGGCCGGGCCUUUUCUUCUGGAGAACCGCAUGCCCUUCACUGGGUGUGUUGGGGACCAGGACUUUUACUUUGAAAAAAUUAGAGUGUUCAAAAGCAGGCCUUUGCUCGAAUACGUUAGCAUGGAAUAAUAGAAUAGGACGUGCGGUCCUAUUUUGUUGGUUUCUAGGACCGCCGUAAUGAUUAAUAGGGACAGUCGGGGGCAUCAGUAUUCAAUUGUCAGAGGUGAAAUUCUUGGAUUUAUUGAAGACUAACUACUGCGAAAGCAUUUGCCAAGGAUGUUUUCAUUAAUCAGUGAACGAAAGUUAGGGGAUCGAAGACGAUCAGAUACCGUCGUAGUCUUAACCAUAAACUAUGCCGACUAGGGAUCGGGCGGUGUUUCUAUUGUGACCCGCUCGGCCCCUUACGAGAAACUAUGAU
rnacentral:rRNA from 1 species